UGCUUGUUAAUACAGUUAAUGUAAGAAUAAACAUCUUUUGAAAUUUGGUUAAUUUUAACGUUAAUUUUGGCCAACAUGAGUUGAUUUGGUUAAAUAUUGUCUCUUUCGUUUCUCGCUCUAUUUUAUUUUAUAUUUAUGGAUAUUCUGGUUCCUUACAAAGCUUUGUAUAAUAACUUCAACUUUACUAGUGAAGCAGCCUUACGAUGUCAUCAUUGAGUGAUCAAAGUGUAUCCAUUGUAACAUUGAAGGCAUUACAAGUCUACAAAGGUUAAAGAACUUAUUAGCCUGGAUAAUCAUGAGGAUGGUGAUUGAGAUAUUUAUGGACCAACCCCAACUGGUUACCGAAAAUCUUGGAACUGUUAUACUCAUUGGUACUCUUUGUGUUGGGUUACAACUUUUAUUCCCUCUGAUCAAAUGAUCAUUCAAGGAUAUAAUCAUUUAUGACAAAGACUGGCAUCGAUAUUAGGCCAUCAAGUUGUCAAUGUUCACAAGCAAGACGAAGCUAUCCUGGGACAGAAAAAGUUCCUAUUACACAGGAAUUGAUGGUUAAACAUUUUUGAAGGAAGGAGAAAGGCAAAGAUGAAGAUGAAUUUGGAUCCAACUGUAAACAAACUUCUGGAGAAACUCUGUUCUGGCUUUGUAAAGAUCGGAACCGGAAAAGAUCGAGAUCAUGAAAAAAGAGAAGAGAAAAAAUCGAAAUAAUUUAGUGUUUUUAUCAAGAAAUAGAUUGAUGAGGAAAGCUUAUUUUUAGGUUUAUUUUCUUGCCUGGUUUACAUGGUUUUUUGGUUUCUCUGUUCAUGACUUUGAUCCCGCUAUUGAUCAGAAAAUAUCUCAUGGAAUGAAAGCUUUGUGAAAAAAGUUGAAUAACCCUGAAAAAACAGACUAAACUGUUAAUCUGGUACAAUGUUGACCACAUCUUAAUCUGUUAAUGUUAACCAAAAGAAUGGUCAACAAUUAUUUACAUUCAACAUUUCCAUCGAUUCAUUUUCAUUGAAACGUUACUUUAGUCAAUUUGAUUUGGUUAAUGCAAGUUGUAAAUGUAAACAAAAUCACUUAACGUUUACAUGUUAAUAUUAACAUUAAAUCAGUUUUAUAUACACUUACACGAAAUCAAAAUCAAUUAUAAUCACUCAUCAAGUGAAUUAACUCGUUCAACUGAUUAUCUUGACUCUAACUGAGUUUAUGUUGAACAAUGUUUGUUUGUGUUUUGCUUUUUUCCCUCUCAAACAGCUAGUAAAACAAAAUGAGAAACUUGACAAGUCAAAUUAAUAUUACCAUUCAAUAAUAAACAAAGUGAAAUGUUGAUUGAAAUUAGUGUAAAAUAAAACCUUAAAUCACCAAAAUAACCAGAUUUAUGAUCAACUGUAAUGGUUAAAGUUAAAUGGUAAAGGUUAGCAAACUUGGCUUGUAAUAACUUAUAACAAUCUUUUUUAUUCUUGCUUGAAAUGUAAACAGGUUGAUGACUUUAUUGAUAUUUUUUGCACAAUAUUUAUCUCAUUUCUUGAUUGUGUUGGUUGAUUUUGGAUCGAUUGGGAUGGAAAUUGAUAAUUGAAUAGAAGCUGGAGUUAUAUGCAUUCAAGUAAUUUCAAGUGAAAUUGGAUUGAUUGGAAAGUAUGGAAACAAUGCACUUUUAUUUGAUGAAUACAAGAUUUUCAAUUUUGGCAUAACUGAAUAUUUAAUUUAAGCUUCAACCUUUCAGGUUUAAUCUUUAUUUAUGGAGAGAAGGUAAAUUUGAUAGCAAAAUGUCUUCCCAUUGAUCCAUCGAUUUUGACUUAACCCGAAAACCAGUGAACACAAUAACAACAAAUGGAGGACAUGUUUAAUAUUUAAUAAUAUUAGGUUGCAUGCAAGAGAGGCCAUUCAAAACCAUCAACAAUGGGACCGAGAAUGGGAAAACAAUGACCAUUUGCAUUUGAUUAACUAAAAUUGUGAGUUCAUUAAUCGACUUUCAACUUUUCAAAUG